CCCCAUCACGAUCAAGUGAUUGUGGCCAAAGGAAACCCAUCCUCUGAUAUUCAGUGCGUGACCUUCAGCUCUGUGAACAAACCAAAACAACCAGAACCACGUGACACAGAACAGUGGAGAACAACGGUGAUGUAUGAAGUCAUUAUCGCAGUUCUGAUGGCGCUUUUCAUCGUCGCCGUUGUCACCAUCGUGUUUGCAGCUGUAAAAUUCAACCAGAAAAGAAAGAAGCCAGAAAAGAAUCAAGAGAAGAAGCCAACAAAGACACCAAUCAUUAGAAGCCCUACAGAUGAACCCAGGACAUUAGUAGCCAUCGAGUGCAGUUUUCACGAGGCCCAGCARGAACAGGGCAGCAGCACAGAGUCCCUGAUCAAAGAGCCCUCAGAGGAGCUCAGUGCAUGAUGGGAGGAAAACGGCCGACAGCCCCAUCACACCGUAGCAUCUGGAGUUCUGUUGAAGAAGUAAUGUUUAUACUGUGAUGCUGAACCACAGGUUUUCUUUUUAUGGAUUCAAUCCAUUGGGCCAUUUUGUAAACGCUUACAAAGGAGAGAUUCAACCUGAUGCACGUGAGAAAGCACUUCCUUUGUAAUCUCAGCAGGGUGGAUUACAUUUUGCUCAAUAAUUAGACAAUACAAUGAUCCUUUGACUCUACACAAACAUGGGAGGAGGGGGAAUUCAGAGUAGGAAAGAAAAAAAACUAAAACUAAGGAGAUGACAAAGAACGUCUCAGUCACAUACAGCAGCAGACACCGAGGCUGUACUUCCCCGACUGAAACAAAAACACGACGUUUCGGUCAUUUUUGUUCAAAGACCUAUUUCAGAGGACUUAUUAGAGCCAGUCGUGUUUGUUAAAGCAAGUGAUGUGAAUGUGUGUUAUCACUGUGUGUGUGAGUUGUACACUGUAUGUGGGUGUCCAGCUGUCUAYAGAUUUGAGUCAGUGCUAAUUUUAAACCCACACACGCCUUCAUCUAAAGACGUCAGCUCAGAGAGCGGCUGCAAAAGGCUUAACGUGGUUACCUACUGAUUUCUGAACGCAUAAAUGUAGUGUGUGGGUCUGUUUUUGACUAAUUUUGUGGGAAAACUAGAACGGUUUCUACAGACUUAAAAAAAACUAUUUUACAUACACCCAUGAACRAGUUUUACUGUAAGGUAGUAGUGAUGCCUGCUGGCAGCUUGGUACACAAUCAGAGGACUUUCCAGCUGUUGCCAAACUGGUAGUGAAAAAGUCCAUGAGGGUUUUCCCCGUUUCCCCCCCAGUCCUGCUAGUUUACAUUUUUAAAGCAGAAAAUGCCUGCUGUGUACAGGACCUCAUUACUGCUGGCUGAGCUUCAGAGGCAAUACAAGUUGUCUGUGAAGCAAUAUUUUAUAAAUCACAAGAACAUUGACAGUGCCUGUUAGUCACUCACCCUCGUGCCUUUUUCCUACACUCACAAACGUGUGUCAUUGUGAKUAACACACUUGGCAGCUUCACAAAAACACACACAAGUGAGCAUAAUGAGGCUCCAGGGUCAGGUGGAAAACCCCAACAGGCUUUUGUGUUUCUGAGAAACCAUUCUCAUUGAGCACAGUAAGGUGGGCAGCGAGAUAAGGCCAACAGGAAAUGAUUUUUUUUGGUUGCUUUUUAAAUGCUACAUUUAGUUUCUGAACCGUAGCAGCCGCCCUUCUUUACAGAACGGAACGUUUAAGAAAUGCGUGUGGGUUAAUGGGUGAAAUGCGAGCCCACACCUAUUGUGACUUCACAUUUUACGACGUCUGAGUCAUAAGGGAGUCGAGUGAUGUCUAUCAAAGUUCACAAGCGUCUCUUCUUGUGAGGAGUUACAUUUAUACGUAUUUCACAACGUGCACUUUUAUCAUAAAGAUCUUUUUCUGAAUGUUAAGAUAAAAUGUGAUCACAGAGUUUAUAUUCACACUGGAUUCAAGUGUACUGUAGGCAUACUUUUACAAUGUACAUAUUUUUUAUUUGUAAUGAACUCAAUAAAUAGUAUUUUUGUUAUUUGCUGUGUUUUCAUGCAGCAUGUCUUCAUACACUGUGGUCCAGAUGAGCACUGAAGAAAUAUACAAAACAUGUAAUAACAGAAAUAAUAACAGACUAAACAAAAAAAA